GGUUGAUUUCUCAAUUUGGUGCGGUUAUUAGGGUUUGAUUUUACAAAUUUCAUCAGUCAGACAACUUAAGUUAUAGGAACAUCUUCAUCAGACAAGUAUGAUAUGAGGAGAGGUCGGUUUGCAAAGAACGGACUGAUUCAGUACCAGAUUGUAUGCCAACAAGUUAAUGUUGGUUCUCUGGAAGAGGUGAUCAAACCAUUUUUGCAUCUUUCAACUGAGAAAGUUGAGAAUGCAAAGACCCAG